CGAACCAAACAACAUCCGUCUAAACCUACUAAAUAAAAUCAAAGAAACAGACUUUGCCUAGUAAACCAGCCAUUCCAGCCAUAAGCAGUACACAAAGUGAGGCAUUAGGCCAAAAAUUAAUCAGUAAUGCCAAGAGUGGAUGACAGAUUACAAAACUGAGAUAAAAAAAUAGCGCAAACCACAUAUCCAACAAUCCGCAAAGGGAUUAAUCCUAACAUAAUGAUGCAUCCAAAAACUUUCACUAAAAAAAACCUAUGAUCUUUAAGACUCUACAGCAGGAAACCUAGCAUACAAUAUCAUCAAAACGUUAUUUAUAACUAUAGAAGGUUGAGAUGAAGCUGAAAUAGUCAAAAGAUAAAUUAAAUGGAGUGUUACUUGUUUCGACGUAGCAAGACAGAACAACGAACUGAUGUCGGAAUCAGC
rnacentral:lncRNA from 1 species